CACGUAGGGGGCGAGCGUUGUCCGGAUUCAUUGGGCGUAAAGGGCGCGCAGGCGGCCCGGAAAGUCGGAUGUGAAAACUCGAGGCUCAACCUCGAGCGUGCACCCGAUACUGCCGGGCUUGAGGCAGGUAGGGGAGAUCGGAAUUCCUGGUGUAGCGGUGAAAUGCGCAGAUAUCAGGAGGAACACCGGUGGCGAAGGCGGAUCUCUGGGCCUGUCCUGACGCUGAGGCACGAAGGUCAGGGGAGCAAACGGG
rnacentral:rRNA from 1 species